rnacentral:rRNA from 1 species
AACCCCUCGUUAUCAGUUGCCAUCGGGUAAAGCCGGGGACUCUGAUAAGACUGCCUGCGCAAGCAGAGAGGAAGGAGGGGACGACGUCAAGUCAUCAUGGCCCUUACGCCCAGGGCGACACACGUGCUACAAUGGCGCAUACAGCGGGUAGCUACCUGGCAACAGGAUGCCAACCUCUAAAAGUGCGUCUCAGUUCGGAUUGGGGUCUGCAACCCGACCCCAUGAAGCUGGAAUCGCUAGUAAUCGCGCAUCAGCCAUGGCGCGGUGAAUACGUUCCCGGACCUU